rnacentral:rRNA from 1 species
UACCAGCACCCCGAGUGGUCGGGACGUUUAUUGGGCCUAAAGCAUCCGUAGCCGGUUCUACAAGUCUUCCGUUAAAUCCACCUGCUCAACAGAUGGGCUGCGGAAGAUACUAUGGGGCUAGGAGGCGGGAGAGGCAAGCGGUACUCGAUGGGUAGGGGUAAAAUCCGUUGAUCCAUUGAAGACCACCAGUGGCGAAGGCGGCUUGCCAGAACGCGCUCGACGGUGAGGGAUGAAAGCUGGGGGAGCAAACCGG